GUCCUGGUGGCAUAACAGUUAAGCAUUCAGCUGCUAAAUGAAAGGUUGGUGGUUCAAAUCCACCCAGCAACU
rfam:Loxodonta africana unplaced genomic scaffold scaffold_15, whole genome shotgun sequence.